CAGUCGCGUUUGCUGGGACUCAACCUUGCUUUUGCCUGGUGUACUUCUCAGUAAAUGGGUCAGCAUCAGUUUCGGGCGCCGGAAAGGGAUUUGAGGAAUGUGACAGCUUGCUGUGUUAUAGCCUCUUGUCGUACACGGUGCUUGGGAUUGAGGACUGCAGCACGCCUUUUGGUCGGGUUCUCCCGACGCCACGUGCUUAGGAUGCUGGCAUAAUGGCUUUAAGCGACCCGUCUUGAAACACGGACCAAGGAGUACUAACA
rnacentral:rRNA from 1 species